rnacentral:rRNA from 1 species
GAGUUUGAUCAUGGCUCAGAUUGAACGCUGGCGGCAUGCCUUACACAUGCAAGUCGAACGGCAGCAUGAUCUAGCUUGCUAGAUUGAUGGCGAGUGGCGAACGGGUGAGUAAUACAUCGGAACGUGCCCUGUAGUGGGGGAUAACUAGUCGAAAGAUUAGCUAAUACCGCAUACGACCUGAGGGUGAAAGUGGGGGACCGCAAGGCCUCAUGCUAUAGGAGCGGCCGAUGUCUGAUUAGCUAGUUGGUGGGGUAAAGGCCCACCAAGGCGACGAUCAGUAGCUGGUCUGAGAGGACGAUCAGCCACACUGGGACUGAGACACGGCCCAGACUCCUACGGGAGGCAGCAGUGGGGAAUUUUGGACAAUGGGCGAAAGCCUGAUCCAGCAAUGCCGCGUGUGUGAAGAAGGCCUUC